rnacentral:tRNA from 1 species
GUGGUUGUGGCUCAGCGGUAGAGCGCUCACCUAGCAUGUGCAAGACCCUGGGUUCGAUCCUCAGCACCACA